CCUACGGGUGGCAGCAGUGAGGAAUAUUGGUCAAUGGUCGGGAGACUGAACCAGCCAAGCCGCGUGAGGGAUGAAGGUAAAGAGUAUCGUAAACCUCUUUUGUCAGGGAACAAAGGCGGGGACGUGUCCCCGGAUGAGUGUACCUGAAGAAAAAGCAUCGGCUAACUCCGUGCCAGCAGCCGCGGUAAUACGGAGGAUGCGAGCGUUAUCCGGCUUUAUGGGGUUUAAAGGGUGCGCAGGCGGUCUGUUAAGUCAGCGGUCAAAGCCCGGGGCUCAACCCCGGCCCGCCGUUGAAACUGGCAGUCUCGAGUUGGAGAGAAGUAUGCGGAAGGCGCGGUGUAGCGGUGAAAUGCAUAGAUAUCGCGCAGAACUCCGAUUGCGAAGGCAGCAUGCCGGCUCCACACUGACGCUGAGGCACGAAAGCGUGGGUAUCGAACAGGAUUAGAUACCCGGGUAGUC
rnacentral:rRNA from 1 species